AGGGGGGAUAACAUCCGGAAACGGGUGCUAAUACCGCAUAGUUUUCUUGAUCGCAUGAUCGGGAAAGGAAAGACGGCCUUUGUGCUGUCGCUUAUGGAUGGACCCGCGGCGUAUUAGUUAGUUGGUGAGGUAACGGCUCACCAAGACGAUGAUACGUAGCCGACCUGAGAGGGUGAUCGGCCACAUUGGGACUGAGACACGGCCCAAACUCCUACGGGAGGCAGCAGUAGGGAAUCUUCCGCAAUGGACGAAAGUCUGACGGAGCAACGCCGCGUGAGUGAAGAAGGGUUUUUUCCGGGAUCGUAAAACUCUGUUGUCAGAGAAGAACAAGUUGGAGAGUAACUGCUCCAGCCUUGACGGUAUCUGACCAGAAAGCCACGGCUAACUACGUGCCAGCCGCAGC
rnacentral:rRNA from 1 species